rnacentral:rRNA from 1 species
AACCCUGCGGAGGGACAUUA